rnacentral:rRNA from 1 species
AUUCCAGCUCCAAUAGGAUAUAUCAAAGUUGUUGCAGUUAAAAAGCUCGUAGUUGAAUUUCUGGUGGGGUUUUCUUCGAGUGUGAUAAUUUUCAGGGCAACUUGAAUUUUAUUGCGCCACCCGCCAUAUUGUGGAUCAAUACAAGUAUGAAUGGUUUACUCCAUUUAUAUUUGUACCACUCAGUCACUGAGAGCAAAUUGGAGUGCUCAAAGCAGGCUUGAUAGCUUUGAACAUUUUAGCUUGGAAUGACAAGAUAUGACUUUUGUUGUAUUUUGUUGGUUAUACAAUGAAAGUAAUGAUUAACAGGAACAGUUGCGGGGGUACUCGUAUUGAAAGGUCAGAGGUGAAAUUCUUGGAUUCUUUCAAGACGAACGACUGCGAAAGCAUUUACCAAGGAUGUUUUCAUUAAUCAAGAACGAAAGCUCGGGGAUCGAAGAUGAUUAGAUACCAUCGUAGUCCGACGCCAUAAACGAUGCCGACUCGGGAUUGUCUUGUUUAUUCUAAUUAAAAAACGAAUCAAGGCAGCACCGUAUGAGAAAUCAAAGUCUUUGGGUUCCGGGGGGAGUAUGGUCGCAAGGCUGAAACUUAAAGGAAUUGACGGAAGGGCACACCAGAGGUGGAGCCUGCGGUUUAAUUUGACCCAACACGGGGAAACUUACCAGGUCCAGACAUGAUGAGGAUUGACAGUUUGAAAGCACUUUCUUGAUUUCAUGGGUGGUGGUGCAUGGCCGUUCUUAGUUGGUGGAGUGAUUUGUCUGGUUGAUUCCGAUAACGAACGAGACGGGGAGAGUUAACUAGGUGAUUGGAUAACUCACGUUAUUCACACCUUCUUUGCUCGACAACUUGGUUUUACCAAGGGGAAGCGCCCCGCAAUAACAGGUCUGUGAUGCCCUUAGAUGUUCUGGGCCACACGCGCGCUACAAUGACGAAUUCAACGAGUUUUUUAUUCCUUGCCCGGAAGGGUGUGGGUAAUCUUUUCAAUGUUCGUCGUGAUGGGGCUAGAUUAUUGCAAUUAUUAAUCUUCAACGAGGAAUCUCUAGUAUGUGCAAGUCAUCAGCUUGCGCAGAAUGCGUCCCUGCCCUUUGUACACACCGCCCGUCGCACCUACCGAUUGGACGAUCCGGCAAGAAGUUUGGAGUUGUUUUUCUUUGCAGCAAUGCAUGAAAAAUGACAAAGCUCUUCAAACCUUAUCGUCUAGAGGAAGGUGAAGUCGU